AUUGAACGCUGGCGGCAGGCUUAACACAUGCAAGUCGAGCGGGGUGAUGGUGCUUGCACUAUCACUUAGCGGCGGACGGGUGAGUAAUGCUUAGGAAUCUGCCUAGUAGUGGGGGACAACAUCUCGAAAGGGAUGCUAAUACCGCAUACGUCCUCCGGGACAAAGCAGGGGAUCACUUGUGACCUUGCGCUAAUAGAUGAGCCUAAGUCGGAUUAGCUAUUUGGUGGGGUAAAGGCCUACCAAGGCGACGAUCUGUAGCGGGUCUGAGAGGAUGAUCCGCCACACUGGGACUGAGACACGGCCCAGACUCCUACGGGAGGCAGCAGUGGGGAAUAUUGGACAAUGGGGGGAACCCUGAUCCAGCCAUGCCGCGUGUGUGAAGAAGGCCUUAUGGUUGUAAAGCACUUUAAGCGAGGAGGAGGCUCUUUUGGUUAAUACCCAAGAUGAGUGGACGUUACUCGCAGAAUAAGCACCGGCUAACUCUGUGCCAGCCGCCGCGGUAA
rnacentral:rRNA from 1 species